CCGGAGCCGCCCGCGCCCGCCCGCCCGCCCGCCCGCCGCCCGGAGCCCCCCGGCCGGGGAAGGCAGACGCGGGCGAGCGCGCCGUCGCCCCGCCAGCCCCGCGCCCCAGCCCCGCGCGGGCCGCCGCCGCCAGCACCGCGAAGAUGAACAACGGCGGCAAAGCCGAGAAGGAGAACUCGCCGAGCGAGGCCAACCUCCAGGAGGAGGAGGUCCGGACCCUGUUCGUCAGUGGCCUCCCUCUGGACAUCAAACCUCGAGAACUCUACCUACUUUUCAGACCAUUUAAGGGCUAUGAAGGCUCUCUUAUAAAGCUCACAUCUAAACAGCCUGUAGGUUUCGUCAGUUUUGACAGUCGCUCCGAAGCAGAAGCUGCAAAGAAUGCUUUGAACGGCAUCCGCUUCGAUCCUGAAAUUCCGCAGACACUACGACUAGAGUUUGCUAAGGCAAACACGAAGAUGGCCAAGAACAAACUCGUAGGGACUCCAAACCCCAGUACUCCUGUGCCCAACACUGUACCUCAGUUCAUUGCCAGAGAGCCGUAUGAGCUCACAGUGCCUGCACUUUACCCCAGUAGCCCUGAAGUGUGGGCCCCGUACCCUCUCUACCCAGCGGAGCUAGCGCCUGCUCUACCUCCUCCUGCUUUCACCUACCCCGCUUCACUGCAUGCCCAGGUGCGCUGGCUCCCCCCCUCCGACGCCACUUCUCAGGGCUGGAAGUCCCGUCAGUUCUGCUGAAAGACGUGUCCCGGGUGUGUGAUGGCGGCUGCGACCUGUCUUGGGGGUAUCUGUGACAUCUUCACUGGAGGCGCCGCUGUCCAGCGGUUCCGCGAACCUGGAGCCUUCAGGCGUGGAAGAACCUUGCCCAGUUUGGAUCCCUUCAAGACAUCGUCACAGCCUCUAUCACACAUCUGUUUCUCUUAAGAAAUAUAAUAAACAUGUUUUACCCUUUUACACU